GCUGCCCCUAGAGGCACUGCAGGUGUGGCUGCUGUGUCAUAUUGCGUCAGUAGGUGGCAGAGAGGAGAGAGGCUAGGUCUACCUAGGCUCAGUGUUCUGACCUAUGAACAUCUGAGUGACUAGUAGCCUAACAUG